AUUGAACGCUGGCGGCAGGCCUAACACAUGCAAGUCGAACGAGUGGCGGACGGGUGAGUAAUGUCUGGGAAACUGCCCGAUGGAGGGGGAUAACUACUGGCAACGGUAGCUAAUACCGCAUACCAUCGGAUGUGCCCAGAUGGGAUUAUCUGGUAGGUGGGGUAAAGGCUCACCUCGUCGACGAUCCCUAGCUGGUCUGAGAGGAUGACCAGCCACACUGGAACUGAGACACGGUCCAGCCUCCUACGGGAUGCAGCAGUGGGGAAUAUUGCACAAUGGGCGCAAGCCUGAUGCAGCCAUGCCGCGUGUAUGAAGAAGGCCUUCGGGUUGUAAAGUACUUUCAGCGAGGAGGCGUUACUCGCAGAAGAAGCACCGGCUAACUCCGUGCCAGCAGCCGCGGUAAUUC
rnacentral:rRNA from 1 species